GACGAACGCUGGCGGCGCGCCUAACACAUGCAAGUCGAACGGAGCUUGAAGGAGCUUGCUUUUUCAAGCUUAGUGGCGGACGGGUGAGUAACACGUGAGCAACCUGCCUUUCAGAGGGGGAUAACGUUUGGAAACGAACGCUAAUACCGCAUAACAUUGUUUUGAGGCAUCUUGAGACAAUCAAAGGAGCAAUCCGCUGAAAGAUGGGCUCGCGUCCGAUUAGAUAGUUGGCGAGGGUAACGGCCCACCAAGUCGACGAUCGGUAGCCGGACUGAGAGGUUGAACGGCCACAUUGGGACUGAGACACGGCCCAG
rnacentral:rRNA from 1 species